GGAGGCAAAAAGGACUGUGACGGCAGAAACGAUCAUACAGCAGAGAGAGGACGCAUACAGGAGAAUACAAGCAAGUUGUUGGAAUCGAAAAAUAUUCAAGUGUGAUUCGUGAUUGAAUUUAAUGCUUUUGGUCGUUAGAUACAUGGAGCUUGCACAGGGAGGAGCUGGUCGUUGUGGGCUUGGAUCGUGAUUAUCUUGUUAAACACUUAUGACAUUUCGUACUUAAUUAUGUUGGGUUUUGAUUAUACGCUUCCGCUAAACAGUGAUAACCUACUUAUGUUUUGAAACACCUUUCAUAUGGAUUUGGUUUGGUUUAAUGGCAAUUGCUU
rnacentral:lncRNA from 1 species